ACUGGAGAACCUGUUGACUGACUCAGCAGGCUCCAUCAGGUGGUGCCUCAAUGAUGGAGCUCCAGUAAGCAGGGUACAGAGAAGGACACAGUGGGAAGAGGAAAUGUGAGCAGAAGAAAAUUUGAGCCAGCUGAGGAAAAUGGGGCGUGAUGUUUGCCAGAAAGGCUGACGCUACAAAUGGAACAAUCCCAUGUUCCUGCUGACUCCCUUACUGAUGAUGAUGAUUCCUGCACAUGGUGAAGUCCACUGGGCCUAUGAUCCUGACCCACCACUGAUACAUCCAGCAGUGUGGUCCAGACUGGAGAUUCUAGUGACCAGUGAUAAUACUCAACUUCUUGUAUCUCCCUGGAGAGGAUAGUCAAUUUAUAAUAAGACCGUGACUUUCAAUGCAUUUGGUGAUGGGAUCCCUGUUUGCUUUCUGAAGAGUAGUAUAAAUGAUAGAUAUAUUUCAGUGUUUCCUCAAACUUGGAUGAAAAACAAUUCAAAAGCAUAGAGAUAGCCAUGCCUAAGCAUUAUAAGGGAUUUGCCCCUGAUCCUCAUGAGCUAUGACCUUGUGGAUCUGUACCCACAGAAAAUAUGGAACAGGCAUUUAACAAAGUUAUUAGUUGGAAAGAAUGUUUUAAUCAACCUCCAAUGUGGUUUAAUGUCUCCAAUAAAAUGUGAAUUAUCGAUUAGGCAGGGACUCAGUCAAACAUUGGGCAAAAGGAGAUGUGCAUAGGCCUUUGGCAAUCAGAAGCAGGCCACUUCCAGUAGCAUAUCUGAAAGUUAGCUGCAGCUCUCUAUGAAGUUACACUGGCUAGGAAUAGAAUUGGGGCAGGAUCUGCACUUGGAACACGUGUUAGUGCGUAUGCUAAAGCUCCCAAUCUUUUAUUAAUUGGUUGUGUUAAAAUUACUUUUGUUUCUUCUACAGUAUUCAAGGUAAGUUGUAUUGAUUGUACACUUUCUAAUUGUGUUAGUGUGUUGAAACCUGGCAUGUCUGUUAUGGGGUGGUCUAUCAACCAGCUUUUGUUUUAUUGCCUGUGAAUAUUAAAGGACCUUGGUAUUCUGAAAAAAAAAAAAAAAGCUUGCAGGUACUAGAAGAAGUGAGUCAGGCUUUAAGCAGAAGCAAGAGGGUAGUGGGCUUGAUCAUUGCUGGUAUAGCAGCUUUAAUUACAUUAAGAGCUAGCACCACUGCUUCUGCAAUUACUUUGACUCAAGAAGUUAAGACAGCAACUUUUGUUAAUCAUUUAGCAAAAAAAUGUUACUAAUGUUCUGAAUAUUCAAGAGGAUUUAGAUAAGUGUUUAGAACUAAGGAUUGAUGCUCUUUAUGAGCCAGGAGGACUCAAAUUAUUGGCCAGGAGG
ensembl:lincRNA